rnacentral:rRNA from 1 species
CAGCCGCCGCGGGAAUACAGAGGGUGCAAGCGUUAAUCGGAUUUACUGGGCGUAAAGGGCGCGUAGGUGGUUAUGUAAGUGAGAUGUGAAAUCCCCGGGCUCAACCUGGGAACUGCAUCUUAUACUGCGUAGCUGGAGUGCAGUAGAGGGUAGUGGAAUUUCCGGUGUAGCGGUGAAAUGCGUAGAUAUCGGAAGGAACACCAGUGGCGAAGGCGGCUACCUGGACUGACACUGACACUGAGGCGCGAAAGCGUGGGGAGCAAACAGGAUUAGAUACCCCCGUAGUCCCUGUCUCUUAUAC